UUCCUCCUUUCCUCUAUCCUUUUUUCCUCCUUUUCUCCUCCUUUCCUCUCCUUUUUCCUCCUUUUAUCCCUCUUUUUAUCCUUCUUUUUAUCCCUCCUUUUCUUGCUUCCAUGUCCCCAUUUUCCCAGGUGAAUCCCAGGGCCAUCCAGCCGGGGUGGUGGCCUUGGGGACAAUGACACCUUUCCCAGGCUCUCUGCCACCUCCCUGUCCCUUCCCAGGCUGUGAACAUCGUUCCCCUGACCCCGAUGGCCCUGGUGCCCCCGGAAGAAGGGGAGAAGAAGGACAACCCCCUCCUGAGCCGGCGGGGCGAGGUGCUGGCGAGCCGCAGGGAUUUCCGCAUGAACACCUCCACCCCGCACGCCUCCGGCGCCUUCCUGCUGGAGCUGGCCGGGCUCUCCCCCACGCACCCGCAGCAGGAGCAGCGCCUGGGCACGGCCACAGGUACCUGGGGCUCUGGGGUGGCCGUGCCACUGUCACUGCCACUGCCAGCACUCACCUGUCGCCGUCCCCAGCAGCAGCUCCGCGAUCCGGCCCCGCGGAGCGUCCGAGCGCCGCCUCCGGCACGGCGCUGGUGCGGGCACUGAGCUUCUGCGAGGAGGAAGGUGCUGCAGAACCUGACGAUGACGACAUUCCCGAGGCCCUGGGGAAUGACAUGGAAGUGAUCCCGGCCCCUAGCGAACACAUUG
rnacentral:lncRNA from 1 species